GAGGCGGCAGGCUUAACACAUGCAAGUCGAACGCCCUUUUCGGAGGGAGUGGCAGACGGGUGAGUAACGCGUGGGAAUUUACCCAGCUCUACGGAACAACUCAGGGAAACUUGAGCUAAUACCGUAUACGCCCUUUUGGGGAAAGAUUUAUCGGAGUUGGAUGAGCCCGCGUUUGAUUAGCUAGUUGGUGGGGUAAUGGCCUACCAAGGCGACGAUCAAUAGCUGGUCUGAGAGGAUGAUCAGCCACACUGGGACUGAGACACGGCCCAGACUCCUACGGGAGGCAGCAGUGGGGAAUAUUGGACAAUGGGCGCAAGCCUGAUCCAGCCAUGCCGCGUGAGUGAUGAAGGCCCUAGGGUUGUAAAGCUCUUUCAACGGUGAAGAUAAUGACGGUAACCGUAGAAGAAGCCCCGGCUAACUUCGUGCCAGCAGCCGCGGUAAU
rnacentral:rRNA from 1 species